rnacentral:lncRNA from 1 species
CUAACAAAACUUUUUUUUUUUUUUUUUCACCGAUCGUCUCUAGAGCAAGUGGCAAAGGGUUUGGUGGUUGGUAUCUGAGACCCAAGUUCGAAUCCUACUUGAUUCACAUUUAUAGCUAAGUUUAUUUUUAAAUGUAAUAAACGAAGCUGGUAGUGUGCUACCUAUCUCUCUAAAAAAAAAAAAGUUUUUUUUUAUCGAUAAUACGGUCUCAUCAAAUAGAAUAGUAUAUAAUAUGAUUGAUCUGUUACCGAACCCAGUACAAACUCGUUCUUAAUUAGGGAUAGCUUUG